GAGGGUAUAGCUCAGUGGAAGAGUGUGUGCUUGGCAUGCACGAGGUCCUGUGUUCAAUCCCUAGUACCUCCA
rnacentral:tRNA from 1 species